AUUCCAGCUCCAAGAGCAUAUAUUAAAGUUGUUGCAGUUAAAAAGCUCGUAGUUGGAUUUCUGGUACAAUGCGCCUGGCCCGCCACAGUUUAUGUGUGUGAGUGCCGGUGCGCGUUUGCCAUCUUUCUAGAAAACGUUUCUACCCUUUACUGGGCCGGAUUCGCGAUCUAGAUCGUUUACUUUGAAAAAAUUAGAGUGUUUAAAGCAGGCUUAUGCUAUGAAUACAUUAGCAUGGAAUAAUAAUCUAGGACUUCGGUUCUAUUUUGUUGGUUUCUAGACCUGAAGUAAUGAUUGAUAGGGACAGUUGGGGGUGCUAGUAUUGGCCGGCCAGAGGUGAAAUUCUUGGAUUCGGUCAAGACUAACUUAUGCGAAAGCAUUCACCAAGGAUGUCUUCAUCA
rnacentral:rRNA from 1 species